rnacentral:snRNA from 1 species
AUACUCUGGUUUCUCUUCAGAUCGUAUAAAUCUUUCGCCUUUUACUAAAGAUUUCCGUGGAGAGGAACAGUUGUGAGUUUUGACUCAAUUUUUUAAGGCCUCGUUGAAAGAGGCUA